rnacentral:lncRNA from 1 species
GACUGGUGAAGAGACAGUUGUUCAAAUUUAAUUUUCAAAUCACUGGUAUGCGUCUCAGCAGGCACCUUUUCUUUUCCAGGUGAAUGGGCAGUUGGGUAUUUGUGAAUUCUUUCCCAAGACCUCAGGCCACAUUCACAUAAAUCCUAUGCUAGAUAGGGGGUCAGAAAUGAUACAGCCCAGCUGCCUUUGUACUAGGAUAUAACACCCUAGCUAUUUCUGUUUGGAAUGGAAACCAUUUUAGUCUGAAUUUUU